rnacentral:rRNA from 1 species
GACGUAGGGCGCGAGCGUUGUCCGGAUUUAUUGGGCGUAAAGAGCUCGUAGGCGGCUUGUCGCGUCGACUGUGAAAACCCGCGGCUCAACUGCGGGCCUGCAGCCGAUACGGGCAGGCUAGAGUUCGGUAGGGGAGACUGGAAUUCCUGGUGUAGCGGUGAAAUGCGCAGAUAUCGGGAAGAACACCCGUGGCGAAGGCGGCACUCUGGGACGGUACUGACGCUGAGACGCGAAAGCGUGGGGAGCAAACAGG